CUCACCUGCUGCGUCGACUCCCUUGUCGACAAGCUCGUCAGCCUUGCCUCCCAUUAAGCCGGACAGAAAGGAAGCCAUCUCUGCAGGAGCCGGACCUGUGUGCUGUUCAGCUGCGCUGUGUGUGUACAGGAGCUCUGUGUGUGUGUGUGUGUGUGCUAGGGGUUUGGCACAGGCUUUUAUAGAGGCUGGCGCUCUCUGCAUUUCCAGUACACGCCCCACAGCUCGGCCCAUGGAACUGCAGGACGGGGGGGGGGGGUUGGGUAUGUGCCAGGAACGGCGUCCCCCUGCAGGACCCCGCCCACUGGGGAGGGGCACGCUGGACUGGUUCCUCUGGUUCUGAACAGGUGUGCUACAGAUGAUUCUUUGGUCUUUUUUAGCCUUUUUUCCCCCGUAACCUUGCUUACAGAAUAGCAAAUCAUAUAACUCCCUCUGCUUUGUUUUCAAAACGUGUGAGUCAACAGGUAGCACGUAAGGUUAAAAAUAGGGUGUUUGUCAGCUUGAGGUUACUAUGGUAAACAAAUGCAGACCUUAUAGUCAUUGAUUCACAACUAGAUAAAGAAAGGCAGUUAUUUUUAAAACAAAUUGGUGCAAAAAAAAACAAAAAACACAUUCAUAUGCAACAUUGUAGAUUUGUAGUUACUGUAAUACGCUGGGCUUUGUGAACCAGAGGUUGCAGGUUCAAUUCCCAGGUGUUUCACUGGAGUUUUCACUGUUAACAUCCCGUUGUAUAGAAGGACAGCAUGGCCUGCAUACAUCACUUUGUAUAAGGGAAUCUGCCAAUCAAAAAUAAGUAACGAGUGAAUGAGUGAGUAACCUGUGCUGUGCGUGUGCGCGUGUGUGUGUGUGUGUGUGUGUGUGCGCGCGCAUAGCUCUCUCCUGUCUGGUUUCGGCGGGAAAGCACGAAAAGGCAGAGCUGAGGGACUUGACGGGGCUUGGGACGCAGGAAGAGAAUAUUUUUUGUCUCAUUCCGUCUCCUCCCUGUGCUGGAAUGUCGAAAUGCUGAGUUAAUCACCAAAGCAGCAUUCCCUGACUACGCAGACCCGAAAAAAAAAAACCCCCAGCCUAGCAGCAGCCGAGGUCAUCCAAGCAUUUCUGGUACGUGCUACCGAUCGCUAGUAGUCAUUUCAUUCUUUUAAAUUGUGAAACUUAUGUGAUAUCAGCACCUGCACUCUGUCCCUUCCCGUGACAAAGGGAAAAGGAAAUACUUGUGAAUAAAUUCCGUGAAAAUAAACUUGUGUCGCCGUUGUACGACAGCUUAGCUUUGAGUCGAAUCAAACCAGAUACAUUUUAUUUGUAUAGUCCUUUUCACAGAAAUCUGUCACAAACAUGCUUGACAGAGUACCAGAAAAGAGCAAAAGGUCUGAAAUCCCAAAUAGCAAGCACCUGAGAUAACGGAGGGGAAAAAAACCUCUGCUGUCUAUUUGCUUUACUGCAUAUUAUUCAAAGAACGCUAUGUACUUAAAGAGUUUUACAGACCGAGCAAACUAGUUUUAGACUUAAAGACAUAAUGUUUAUCUUAGAUUGCAUUGAAAUCAUUUAACCUUUUUUGCUUUACAAUGUUUACAUUGUUCAAUUGCUCUAUGUGUACAUUAGAAAGAUAGCAGUUUUUGUAUGAUUCAUUUCAUUGUGUUUGCCAACAUUGACGGACUGAUUGAUUUAUUGAAAUUCCAAAAUACAACCAAACUGUUUAUAGAGAUGUAUCAAUUGGUCUUAUUAAACGUUAGCUCCAUAAUGUUUGGGACAUUUUUUUCUUGAUUUGGCUCUACACUCCACAAUUUUAUAUUUUUAAUCAAACAAUUUGCAUGUGAUUAAUUCUCUACUUUCAUUCAAGUGUAUUUUUAUACUGUUUGGUUUCACCGUGUAUAAAUUACAGCACUUUUCAUACAUGGCAAAUGGCUUCACGUGUGUUUUUGAUUAGUCAAGUAUGCUCAAUUGCUUCUGUAUAAGAGAGCUUUCAGUUUCUAGUCUUCAUUCUAGUCUUUGCCGGUUUUGGCUUUGGCUUUGCUGUCUAUGUUUGGCUUUUGUCAACAUGAGGACCAGAGAGGUGCCAAUGAAAGUCAAGGAAGCCAUUUUGCCAUCUAUAUGGCUGCCGGAGGUACUGGUCACAUGUCUUCAUUGAUGAUCUAACUGCUGAUGGCAGCAUCUGAAUGAAAUCCGAAGUCAUGCUGAAGAGAAAACUUAAAGCAACUUAAAACCUAAGGAAACUAGCCCCCAAAACAAGCAGGAGCUGAAGAUGGCUGCAGUACAGGCCUGGCAGAGCAUCACCAGAGAAGAUGCAGAUGCAGUACCUGGUGAUGUCUACGGGUCACAGACUUCAGGCAGUCAUUUCUUGCAAUCCGACAAAGUAUUAAACAUGACUAUUAUCAUUUAUGUAACAUUAAUAUGUCCCGAACAUUAUGAUGCUCUGAAAUGGGGCAGCUAUGUGUAAAAAGUGCAGUACUUUCUACAUGGUGAAACCAAAGUAUUUCACCAUGUAAAAGCUGAGAAUGUACACUUUAAUAACAUUGUGAAUUGUUUGCUUAUGAGUCUAAAAUUGUGGGGUACAGAGCCAAAUCAAUCAAAAAUGACUUUAUCCUAAACAUACUGGAGCUCACUAUGUUGCAGCAUUUCUGAAUAUAUUUUGCAUGCACAUAUAUAUUUUGAGUGCAAGAAAAUGUUUUUUAAAAAAGAACUUAAAAUAUUGUGCAGUGUUAACAAAAAAAAAAUUGAAUCCAAAAUGACCUUUAAGUUUUGGAAUUAGUGCAUGUUUCUGAAGUCUGAAACCAGUGUUCUCUGCGCUGAUGAUUAAUAUUUGAUGACAGAGACAAGGCGUGCCUGAGAAACUGAAACACUUAAAGGGUAUCUUGACGUCCGAAGACUCCGGGGUGCGGCAGUGUCGUGAUGUGCCUUUGGCCCAGGUUUUCAUUUGUUUAUUUUUUUUAUUUAAUUUUUUUUUGGGGGGGAAUGAGACGUUGCUUUGUUGGGAAGGCUGUUUCACUGUCCCAUCAGCACGUGGAGGUGUCUGGCAGGGCCGAGGGAAUGACAAAUCCAUGGGGCUUGGACAUAAUAUCUCAUUGUGAGGAUGUAAAUAAACAUGGUUUAUAACAAUAAACACAUGCCUGUGUAACAGAUACUUCCUCAGUAAACACUGUCUGCGCAACAGAUACUUCUUCAAAAGAAAAUAUUUGCUCGUUCUCUGUUUCCAAACACAGCUUUACUGUGUUUGUCUGUAUCCACCACAAUGGGGUCCUUGGGUCUAUAAAUAAAGGUUUUUUUUGUGUGUGUGUGUGUCUACAACUUGUUUAAUGAAUGGAGUAUGACUUCCUUUAUACAGGCACCAAAACCAUCAAACGCAUUGCACAAAAAUGUCAGUACAGCAAAUAAUUUUUACUUUUAAAUUUUUAAUGUUUUUAGGUUAACUUAAAAGUGUAUUCUCUCUCUCUCUCCCUCUCUCUCUCUCUCUCACUCUCUCUCACACACACACACACACACAAACAAGCCGUAAAUAUUUUUAGAACAGCUUCCCUUCUGUGUUUAGUGCCGAGCUUGUGGGAAAAAAAAAAAAAAAAACAGACCAGUCGCACAAUGUACUCUGUGAUGCUCUGCCAACGCUGUAUUUUUCCAACUCCGCCCCCUGGUGUUGGCCGCUGCUACUGCAGGUUUAAGUGUGUAACGAUUGGUUGUGGCGCUGCUCUUCCUGCUUGUCUUGCAGUGUCAUCCGUGCCAAGCGCUUGGGACCGGCUUGGGUGCAUUCCUCAGUGCUGACUCCCGCUAAUGAUGGGUUUGCCUUUUAUUUGCAGCUGGAACUGAACAAUGCGAAACUCACUGAGAGAUCGAACACCGAAUUAUACACAGCGAAACUGCGCAAAGCAGCCUCUUAUACGCUUUGAAGAAGGAAAAAAAAAUGUGACAGAUUUCAGACUUGUGUUUCCACAUUUCCCAUACAGGAAAAAAAAGUGUGUAGUCUUACCACAUUCAUAAAUCUUGCACAUCACUGUGUACGUGCCUGUUGUGUAGAAAAAAGUUUUAUUAAAUCCCCAAGAAGCAGGA